rnacentral:rRNA from 1 species
GACGAACGCUGGCGGCGUGCUUAAUACAUGCAAGUCGAACGGACAGGCCCUGCUUUUGUUGCGUUCUCGUUUGGCCAACGCGGGAGUAACACGUGAGUAACCUCUCCCUAUCUUUGUGAUAUCUCUAGGGGACUGGGGCUAUUAUCGCGUAUGAUCUCCUGCUGCAUAUUGGUGGUUGGUAAGUUUCGGUGGUUGGGUAUGGACUCGCUGCUUAUCCGCUUGUUUGUGGGGUAGUGGCUUCCCAGGGCUUUGACGGGUAGCCGGCAUGAGAGGGUUACCGGCCACAUUGCGACUGAGAUACGGCGCAGACUGCUACGGGCGGCAGCAGUGGAGAAUAUUGCACAACGGGCGGAAGCCUGAUGCAGAAACGCCGCGUGCGGGAUGACGGGCUUCGGGUUGUAAACAAAUUUCGACGGUGACAAAGAGUGAGUGACGGUAAUGAGUAAGGAAGCAACGGCUAACUACGUG